UUAUGCUCAUAUAUGUAAACUCAUCAUAUUAUAAACUGAAUUAGUCUAUGCCUUUGAUAAUCCAGGCAGUGAUUAAUUAUCUAGCUUUUACAGCCUUUUAAUACACUGCUGUUCAGUGUGUACUGUUGUAUAAAUGAACACACAGAGAUAGCUGAUAACAUCUGGAGAUUCUGACCAAGAUAAAGACCAAUGGAAAUGUGCAGGCUUCUGAAGCCGUUUUACACAUGUAGCCCCAAGAAAUAAUCCCAGUACUUUUUAAAAAAAAAAUUCUGUGAUCUUUGCAAAUUCUGUGAGCAAAUAAAUGGAAAAAUUCUCAUGAACUGUAUAUAUAUAUUUUAAGAACAUUCCAGAUAUUCCCUUCAGUAACUAUACUGUACCAAGGAAUAUUGCUCAUGAAUACAAAAAUUUGAAUGUAAACAGGAAGUGCUUUGUUCUAGAUGUUGGAGGCAAAAUGGAAUGGAGCUAAAUAAUUUUGUACCUUGAAAUUCUAAAAUGCUUUUAGAGAGAUAUCAGAUACAAGAGUGUACAUAUUGAGUUAUUAGAAGCAUUGUCUUCAACAUGUAUGAAUGAAAUGAUGUAAUCAGAGAUAAUUGAUGGCUUUAGUGACUAUGCUACAGGAUGAAAUGAGAUCACAGACAGAGACCCCAUCAAACACUUAACUAAAUGGCUGGAAUGAGGUUCCUGACCCUGGUGAUGGUUUUAGCAAAGCUAAGAGACAUUCUGGUGCCACCUAUAUUGAGCCAACAUAACUCCAAAAAUGAUUUUGUUGUAUUCAUAACUUUCUAUUAAAUAAUUUUUACAUUUAAUAUAUCUUUUAGUUUAAUUUUUUAGUUGAAGCUAAGUUCAAGCCACAAUUGCCAGGUUAGGCUAAGAAGUGCUGCAUGAUGACAGGUCCUUGGACAGCAUGGACCCAGUCCAUGGAUGGCAUGGACACCAUCCAUGGACGGCUUAGACACUGGACAAUGUCCAUGGAUGGCAUGGCCACUGUCCAUGGAUAUGCCCUGGACACUGGCCAUGGAUGCCAUGGACAUUGUCCAUGGCCACUGUCCCUGGACAGGCAUGGAUUUUUAUCCAGGGAUACACAGUUUUUGUCCAUGGAUAUGUGUUCCAAUACUCCAUGGACAACAGACCAUGCUGAAAUCCAUGGAAUCCAUGGACAUACUACAGCCG
rnacentral:lncRNA from 1 species